AUCGACUUUUCCGGCCUCGGCUGGGCGCUGUCCACCACUUGCAACGCCUGAAACCUCAUCCAGCUCAGGUGGCUGGGGCUUCUACUGGGCUCCGAGUCCGCCACUGCUGAUUACAGACUUCUGAAGUUUUAAAACGUCCCCCCUCGGGAGAAAGGGGUGGCGCGGCUUGCAUUUACAGAUCUGCAAGGGCUCCAGACAGAUGCAACAUGCACCUUGUUGCAAAGGGCAAUUCCCCAGGCCCCGCCUCCCCAUCAAUUUGGGUUGCACAAGCUCAAGAGAAGCCCCAAGCUAAAUUACCCCUGGCUCAGAAGGGUGCGGCGAGCCAAGGGGGGCUCUGCGAAGAAAGCCCCAGGGAGCUCUCGAAUAAAAAUAAGAACAUGUCAAGCAGAUGGGAAAAUUGUCUCCGAGUCGCUACUCCCUACCAUCAUGGCGCCGCCUAGAACCCGCUUGUCAUGCCUGUUACACAUCCAAGAUUUUUUGCAUCUUGGUUCUGAAACCGCAAGCAUGCUUCGUCUCCCACUCCCACCUUCCCACGAAAGGGGUUUUUAUUUUCCAUUGUUUCCCUACGCGAUGCAAUUAUUUCGGCUAUUGUGUCAAGUUGAAAAAUAAUCAUUUUUGUUUACUGCACAGCAACCCCUAAUUAGGAGCUGUGUGUGCACGAAGGUGUCACAGCAAAGCGACGUGGAAUCUUCGCUAAACGGUCUAAACGAACUCCUCCGUCUCGAACUGACAGGCCAACCGAAACAGGAGGCCCGGAGGGCGCACACCCCUUCGCUGCCGGCCACCCCCUCCCCAAGCAAACCUGCCUGUGGGAUCACCAGGAACUGCCGAGUGGAUAGGGCAAGAAGCGAGCCUGCAAGUGGAAAGGAGGGGCGAGGCUCCUUAUUGAGAAAGUGUGGAAGGGAAGGAAUAUCCCAUUUUGUUUUAAUUUUCAACCAUCACUCAAAUCCACCCCCAGUUAAUUAGGAGGGGAAACUGAUAGCUAAGGCAGAAGGGGGCGGCGGCAAGUGGGGCCUGAAAUCCGCAUUGUGGGUAGAUUACAUGGAACACGGCCUAUGCAGAGUGUAAAUAAAUACACUGAUAAAGGCCACGGAGCGAACGAAAACUGCGGGUGUCAGGAGAGCAAUGCUGGGAGGGUGGGGGAGGAGAGGAGCUGGGGGCAGCAAGGGGCGGACAUUCAGCCUCACAGGCAGCUUCCCUCCCCCUUCCACCUCUACCUUGGAUAAAACUGUGCCCGUCACCUACGUUUGGAAACCCACUCCUUCCCCUAGCACACGACCCCUCCCCUAACCCUGGCCCUCUUUUUUUGCGGGGGAGGGGGUGCGAGGGGAUGUAGAAACCACAGCCUCCAAUUCAGCACCAAACGCAUGAACAGCAGACACUUGAUCCUCCACCCCAGUCUAGGGCUGGGUCCCCUCCAUGUUAGCCAAGUUCAAAAUCACUGCCCCAGGAAAAGAGCAGGGGGAAGUGGGAUUACGGACCUUGGGGGAUAGGGAGGUAUGGAGGGAAGAGGAGAAAGAAAUAGAGACAGAAUGAAACAGAGACACAGACAGAAAUGGAGGCAGUGAGACACAGAAAAUAUUCCACAAGCAAGAGUAAUGAUCAUAAUCAUGCCAAUAGUGUGAUGUUCUGAUCAAUAUGGCGGACACUGUCAUUCAUACAACUACAGGCGCUCCCCUUCCCCCUCCCAAAAAACACCCACCCAGGAGUUAGGGUGGAGGACCCAGAACCAACGUAGGGAGUGGGGGAGGGGAGUCAAAUAUAGGGGUGUGUGUGUGUGUGUGUGUGUGUGCACGAAUUAAAAAACAGGCCUGGAGAGCAAUGUGGAGUAAGCAAUGUAAUAAAAACGAUUUAAAAAUUAUUCUUAAUAAAAGUACGAAUCCCAAUGCCACAGGGACUUACUUCAUCUGCUUCACAAUGGUGCUUUUUCCUGAUUCUCCAGCCCCUGUUGGGACACAGACAGUGGGGAAAAACUGGCAUUGCUGUGCUGGGAAGGAAUGCUUAAACCUGCCACAGCCAUGUUGUGAUUAUGAAGGGAGCCAACCUGAGGACAAAUCACAUUUUCUGAGGAUGGCAAAGCAAACAGAUGCAAAGAUCCUGGGUCUUUGAUGGCAUUGUGGAGUUGCUGGACAGCUUCCCUACUUUUCACGUUCCUAUGACACAAUGUUAUCAUCGUCCUUGUUGUAUCAGCCAGGGAAGCUAAAGAAUGAUGCGCUCCACCACAAUGAGGGACUAAACAACAAAAAGGAGGCAUGAGAUUCAGGAAGCAAAAAAGGAAUUCAUCAUAUGAAGGAAUGAAGAUGUUCAAAAGAAAACCUUCAACCUCAUGCCAGAAGAUGUUCCCAGCUGUAUAAAUGCCUAACUCAGCUUCUAGUCCUUGGAAAUUAAGCAGCUCAUUGAAAAUUCAAGAGUUCCAGCCAGAAGCUACAGCUAGGCUCAGAUGUUGAAAUCAGUCUCUCCUGCUGAUCAAACUGUGACAUAGCCAAAGCAAUAGGCCUGGCUUUUCAGUUAAUUCUCAGCGAGCCCUUCCUUUCCCUCUGUAGUGGUUGGUGUGGCAUUUAUAAUAUAACUCCUUUAUGUACACUGUAAACCAUUCCUUCUCAGGGCAGAUGGAAGUAUGAAAUCUAUCUAUUUCAGUCUAUAAAAUUAUAUUUAGAGCGUUAGGUAAUGAAUGUCCUAGUAAAGUCGGCAGAGGACAGGUAGGUUAAAUGACAAGUAAGGAAUGACAGGCAGGUAGUAGAUGAUAAGAGUUGCAGAACAGUUUGGGGAGAAGGACUUUAUUUUUAAAUGCCUUUAGUAACACUACUACUACUAAUAUAGCAGUAAAGUACUUUUUACCCAUUAAUAAAUGGGUAAAAGUAAUUUCAAGUUAGCAAAUUUCUCAUUUAUAUGCAGUGUUUCAUAUAACAAUGGCUCAAUCCUGAUCCUUGUAGGAAACUACCUUAACCAUUGUGUAUUUUUUCAGCUUUUAAUGACUAUACAAGCACAUCUUAUCAUAUUUUAUAUUUUUUACAUAAAGAAGUCAUGCAACUUACACCAUGAACAUCUUUCCAUAUCAGGUCAUAUGGAACUUUUUCAUUCUUUUUAACAAUUGCAGAAUAUUGUGGGAAGUAGUUUAAUUUACUCAGCUAGUCUUCUAAUGAUGGACAUUUGGCUUGUUUACAAUUUCCAUUCUUUCACAAAGCCUGCUGCAACAAAUAACAUUAUUCAUAUGGCAUUUUGUUUAAGUGUGAGUAUAUAUGUAGGAUAAAUUUCUAGAAAGUAGACUUGCUGGAUUAAAAGUUAUGUACAUUUUAAAUUUUGAUAGAUAUUGCCAAAUUUCCAUGCAAAGGAUAAAUUUCUUUGUGUAGAAUUGCUUGGUUGCAUGGUGUAUGCAUUUCAUCUUUCAGAAAUGUUGUAUCAGUUUAUAUUCCUGGGCAAUAUGGGCAAACAAGAUAACCUGAAAAUCCCCCUAGAAAGACACCUAAAAUAUUAAAAAAUAUGUAACAAAUAUCUCAUGUAUAGAACUAGGCUUGCAAAAAAGUAAGGCAAAUCCCCAGGGAUCAAAAAAUGAAGAAGCUGAAAACCAAGGGAGGAAGCAGACAUUGAAGCCACUGAUGCCCUGGGGCAUUUAUAGUUGCAGGUAACCAAGAUGCUUGGUGUUUAACAGCCACAUGAAGAUAAGACCUUGGACCCAGCAAGGUGUAGAGAGGAGCCAAGACCCUCACAAGAAUCUGGAACCCUCAAGCACUAAAAGAUGGAUAGAAAAAAAUAACGAGCGAAAGGAGAUAAUAAGGCAAAUUGUCUGGCUUGGCUUAGGCAUACAGAGUAAAAACGAAAAGUAUGUACUGAGAAUUUAUAACCACAGGCCUGCCCUCAAGUGGGAUAGGAGUUCUAAUACAUACUACCUUGGGACACCUUGGGUGCCUAACAGAGGCAAAUGCAAAUCCUCUCCAAAGACUCAUGUCUUCAACCUAGGCUACCUAAGAUUCUGCUAUGGUUUGAAUAUUUUUCCCUCCAAAACUCCUGUUGAAAUUUAAUCCCCAUUGUGGCCAUAUUGAGAGGUGGGGUCUUUAAGAGGUGAUUGGGUCAUAAGGGAUCUGCCCUCAUUAAUGGACGAAUCCAUUCAUGGAUUAAUGGAUUAAUGGGUUAUCACAGGAGAGGGACUGGUGGCUUUAUGAGGAGAAAAGAGACCUGAGCUAGCAUACUCAGUCCUCUUACCAUGUGAUGCCCUGCACCACCUUUGGACGCUUCAGAGUCCCCACCAGCAAGAAGGCCCUCAGCAGAUGUGGCCCCCUGACCUAAAACUUCCCAGCCUCCAUUAUUGUAAUAAAUAAAUCCUAUUCUUUAUAAAUUAUCUAGGUUCGUUAUUCUGUGAUAAGCAGUAGAAAACAGACUAAGACAAUUCCCAUGGAUAAAAGGUUUGAUUGAACAUAAAUUCACAAUCCAAAAUUUCAUACCAAAAGAAAGAUUCCCAUG
ensembl:lncRNA GNAO1-DT GNAO1 divergent transcript